UUAAGCGACUAAGCGUACACGGUGGAUGCCCUGGCAGUCAGAGGCGAUGAAGGACGUGCUAAUCUGCGAAAAGCGUCGGUAAGGUGAUAUGAACCGUUAUAGCCGGCGAUGUCCGAAUGGGGAAACCCAGUGCAAUUCGUUGCACUAUCGUUUGAUGAAUACAUAGUCAAACGAGGCGAACCGGGGGAACUGAAACAUCUAAGUACCCCGAGGAAAAGAAAUCAACCGAGAUUCCCCCAGUAGCGGCGAGCGAACGGGGAGCAGCCCGGAGUCUGAAUCAGCUUGUGUGUUAGUGGAAGCGUCUGGAAAGUCGCAGGGUACAGGGUGAUACUCCCGUACACUAAAACGCACAGGUUGUGAACUCGAAGAGUAGGGCGGGACACGUGGUAUCCUGUCUGAAUAUGGGGGGACCAUCCUCCAAGGCUAAAUACUCCUGACUGACCGAUAGUGAACCAGUACCGUGAGGGAAAGGCGAAAAGAACCCCGGCGAGGGGAGUGAAAAAGAACCUGAAACCGUGUACGUACAAGCAGUAGGAGCCUCUUUAUGGGGUGACUGCGUACCUUUUGUAUAAUGGGUCAGCGACUUAUAUUCUGUAGCAAGGUUAACCGUAUAGGGGAGCCGCAGGGAAACCGAGUCUUAACUGGGCGUUAAGUUGCAGGGUAUAGACCCGAAACCCGGUGAUCUAGCCAUGGGCAGGUUGAAGGUUGGGUAACACUAACUGGAGGACCGAACCGACUAAUGUUGAAAAAUUAGCGGAUGACUUGUGGCUGGGGGUGAAAGGCCAAUCAAACCGGGAGAUAGCUGGUUCUCCCCGAAAGCUAUUUAGGUAGCGCCUCGUGAACUCAUCUUCGGGGGUAGAGCACUGUUUCGGCUAGGGGGUCAUCCCGACUUACCAACCCGAUGCAAACUACGAAUACCGAAGAAUGUUAUCACGGGAGACACACGGCGGGUGCUAACGUCCGUCGUGAAGAGGGAAACAACCCAGACCGCCAGCUAAGGUCCCAAAGUCAUGGUUAAGUGGGAAACGAUGUGGGAAGGCCCAGACAGCCAGGAUGUUGGCUUAGAAGCAGCCAUCAUUUAAAGAAAGCGUAAUAGCUCACUGGUCGAGUCGGCCUGCGCGGAAGAUGUAACGGGGCUAAACCAUGCACCGAAGCUGCGGCAGCGACACUAUGUGUUGUUGGGUAGGGGAGCGUUCUGUAAGCCGUCGAAGGUGACCUGUGAGGGUUGCUGGAGGUAUCAGAAGUGCGAAUGCUGACAUAAGUAACGAUAAUGCGGGUGAAAAACCCGCACGCCGGAAGACCAAGGGUUCCUGUCCAACGUUAAUCGGGGCAGGGUGAGUCGACCCCUAAGGCGAGGCCGAAAGGCGUAGUCGAUGGGAAACAGGUUAAUAUUCCUGUACUCGGUGUUACUGCGAAGGGGGGACGGAGAAGGCUAUGUUGGCCGGGCGACGGUUGUCCCGGUUUAAGCAUGUAGGCGGAUGUUCCAGGUAAAUCCGGAACGUUAUUAACGCUGAGGUGUGAUGACGAGGCACUACGGUGCUGAAGUGACAAAUGCCCUGCUUCCAGGAAAAGCCUCUAAGCAUCAGGUAACAUCAAAUCGUACCCCAAACCGACACAGGUGGUCAGGUAGAGAAUACCAAGGCGCUUGAGAGAACUCGGGUGAAGGAACUAGGCAAAAUGGUGCCGUAACUUCGGGAGAAGGCACGCUGAUAGGUAGGUGAAGUGGUUUACCCAUGGAGCUGAAAUCAGUCGAAGAUACCAGCUGGCUGCAACUGUUUAUUAAAAACACAGCACUGUGCAAACACGAAAGUGGACGUAUACGGUGUGACGCCUGCCCGGUGCCGGAAGGUUAAUUGAUGGGGUUAUCCGUAAGGAGAAGCUCUUGAUCGAAGCCCCGGUAAACGGCGGCCGUAACUAUAACGGUCCUAAGGUAGCGAAAUUCCUUGUCGGGUAAGUUCCGACCUGCACGAAUGGCGUAAUGAUGGCCAGGCUGUCUCCACCCGAGACUCAGUGAAAUUGAACUCGCUGUGAAGAUGCAGUGUACCCGCGGCAAGACGGAAAGACCCCGUGAACCUUUACUAUAGCUUGACACUGAACACUGGUCCUUGAUGUGUAGGAUAGGUGGGAGGCUUUGAAGUGUGGACGCCAGUCUGCGUGGAGCCAUCCUUGAAAUACCACCCUUUAAUGGCUGGUGUUCUAACGUGGGCCCCUAAUCGGGGUUGCGGACAGUGUCUGGUGGGUAGUUUGACUGGGGCGGUCUCCUCCUAAAGAGUAACGGAGGAGCACGAAGGUCAGCUAAUCCUGGUCGGACAUCAGGAGGUUAGUGCAAUGGCAUAAGCUGGCUUGACUGCGAGCGUGACGGCGCGAGCAGGUGCGAAAGCAGGUCAUAGUGAUCCGGUGGUUCUGAAUGGAAGGGCCAUCGCUCAACGGAUAAAAGGUACUCCGGGGAUAACAGGCUGAUACCGCCCAAGAGUUCAUAUCGACGGCGGUGUUUGGCACCUCGAUGUCGGCUCAUCACAUCCUGGGGCUGAAGUAGGUCCCAAGGGUAUGGCUGUUCGCCAUUUAAAGUGGUACGCGAGCUGGGUUUAGAACGUCGUGAGACAGUUCGGUCCCUAUCUGCCGUGGGCGCUGGAGAAUUGAGGGGGGCUGCUCCUAGUACGAGAGGACCGGAGUGGACGCAUCACUGGUGUUCGGGUUGUCAUGCCAAUGGCAUUGCCCGGUAGCUAAAUGCGGAAGAGAUAAGUGCUGAAAGCAUCUAAGCACGAAACUUGCCCCGAGAUGAGUUCUCCCUGACUCCUUGAGAGUCCUGAAGGAACGUUGAAGACGACGACGUUGAUAGGCCGGGUGUGUAAGCGCAGCGAUGCGUUGAGCUAACCGGUACUAAUGAACCGUGAGGCUUAACCUU
rnacentral:rRNA from 2 species